rnacentral:rRNA from 1 species
GACGUGACUUCAGAGUUUGAUCCUGGCUCAGGAUGAACGCUGGCGGCGUGCUUAACACAUGCAAGUCGAACGGAGCGGCCAUGACGGAGUUUCGGACAACUGAUUGGUUAGCUUAGUGGCGGACGGGUGAGUAACGCGUGAGGAACCUGCCUUGGAGUGGGGAAUAACACAGAGAAAUUUGUGCUAAUACCGCAUAAUGCAAUUGAGUCGCAUGGCUCUGAUUGCCAAAGAUUUAUCGCUCUAAGAUGGCCUCGCGUCUGAUUAGCUAGUUGGUAGGGUAACGGCCUACCAAGGCGACGAUCAGUAGCCGGACUGAGAGGUUGACCGGCCACAUUGGGACUGAGACACGGCCCAG